UGUAAGGAAAGUGAGUGCAUGCUAUACCAGAGCUUUCAAUAUAAAAAUUAGUGUAUAUAAUUACAAUAUUACAAUUGAAGCAACAAGGUCAAACCAGAGUUUACAAUACUGCGUUACUUCAACCUCCCAUCUAUUUACUAAUUACACUCGUCUAUUUCUACUAUUAUUCCACGGUGAGAAUUCCUGUAGAACAACCCUGACUAAAAGAUAA